UAUUCGCUUAAAACAAAUUAGAAUUCAGAUAUGAGCUCAAUUUAUAUUCAAAUAUUUUUCAGAUAAUAAUAUAUAUAUAUAUAUAUAUGAUUAAUUUCAUACAGGUCCCUACAAACAUGAUGAAUAGCAGAUAUAUUCCUGCAAAACUCAACUUUCAUAAAUUGUUCCUGCAAAAGUCCUAAUGUAUCCAGAUACGUCUCUCUGGUCAAAAUCUGUUAGAGAACUGUUAAUUUUUUAACUGUAGUAUGCCUGGAGUUCAGCAUUUGAGGCUUAUCGAUACAUCUGAAGAGUGUCGGGACAAGUCCGAGUCAUGUUGGCGCGAAAUAGAUAUCAAUUGGACUCAGCGGGACGCGAGAGCAGGAAAUUAGCAUUGAAAUCUGCAAAUUACAGCAUUCCAGCAUUUAGUAUCGGUAUCACCCAGGGGCGUAUUGGUACCAUGUAUAUUUUUCUGCGCAAACUGCUCUUGGGUUGAAAAUUCUGCUGCGUGGUACCGGUACAACAUUGACUUGGUACCGAUACUUCAGGAUAGGUGAGGGGCUGUUUGGUCUUUUGGCUGCCUCGUUGUCUUCCCCCUCACCUACUCUCCUUCUUAUACCUGUAGAGAGGUAGAGAUGAGGGUUUUUGCUGUGCUCUCUCUCUCUCUAGUGCUUGGCCGUACGCAAGGAUGAGGGGGAGGAAUCGGGUGGUGCUGGAGCGACGUCGACGUUGCGCCGCGGUGCCGUUCGAGCGUGCGUUCGUCGUGGUUGCGCCGUUGGGGGGCCGGGCAAGCGUGUGAUUCCGCUUCUAUCAACUUUUUGCCGAAUUUGGAGUACCUUUCGAGGUGGGUCAAAGUGAUGCUUACCGGAUUUCGUUUAGCAUAUUGUUUAGCUCGAUUCUUAGAUUUGUAUGUUAUUGAUCUUGAUUGGAGCUUAAAAUACUAGCUAAAUUAUACAUGUUGGACUUGAUUUUAACUUAGGAGAAAACUGACGUUUCUACACUGUCAUAUGUUAAAACUACCAGAUUUAGCUGUAGGAGCCGUAGUUUGUUUGUAUCGCCGCAGUUUGUGAGCGGUAGAUACCCAGAAUAGUGUAGAAUAUAUUUACGCUCAUGCUGAGGUGCCAAGUAUAUUUUUACAGUAGUGUUUAGGCUGUUCCGAAUUGUCAGGUGCCGUUGAAAUUGACGGUGGACCCAGAUUGCUGUUUUUGCAUUUGAUUGUGCCGAGGGCACGUGAGUUCAGUUGUUAGACCAUGUUUACUUAACUAUAGCCUGUGAGAGCCUGAUUGAGCUCGAUAGAGACACGCUUGCAUACUCGGUUGGGUAGCACACACGAGUGCCACUCCUAUAACAUACCGAAAUCUUG
rnacentral:lncRNA from 1 species